rnacentral:rRNA from 1 species
GUCUCCGGACAUAUCAGCCUGAAGGCGCUAGAUCUUGUCUGCUCUCAGAAGUUAAGCAGGUCGGGCCUGGUUAGUAUCUUGGAUGGGAGACCACCUGGGAAUCCCGGGUGCUCGAGGCU